GUCCUUUUCUAUAGAAAUGUCUAAAACUUGUGUUGUGUGGUUUUCAUUCUAGGAUAAAAGGGGUUAUCUUUAAUAACCCUAUCAGCCUGGUGCCGUGACGCGGAUCCCAACAUAUCAGCUCGCUGACGAGAGGAGCGGACACGCUGAAACCCACCGGUGGUCUGAGUCAAGGACCUGUCUAAAGUCCCGGGAGGUAACUUCCUCGCUGGGCCAGCGUCAUAGGUUAACUCCUUUCGCCAACAAGGGAUUGACGGGAUCCGACCGGGAGAAAAACACACCACAGCAAGAUCCACAAGCAGUGAGACCAGGAGACUGGGUGUUUGUCAAAAUCAUCAGAAGGAAGGACUGGGCGAGCCAAAGUUGGGAAGGACCAUUCCAAGAGCUCCUGACCAUGCCAACAGCUGUAAAGAUUGCUGAAAGACCAUCCUGGAGUCACCUCAGCCACUGUAAAUUACAGAGAGUGUUAAGUGCCUAAAGGUUGGAACAGUGGGGAAGUCCGAUUUACAAAGGGGUUUGGUUUUUUAGGGCCACUCGUCUCAACGUCGGUGAAGAAACCAACUGAUCCCUGUUCUUUAGAGUCCUUGGUAAAAUUAACAUCUCUGUUAACCUAGCAAAAAAUGGCUGCCAUGAAGAUUUGGCUGGGAAAUCUCCCAGACCAUCACUCAGAGAACUUGUGGCAGAUGUAUGUGACGAUGUUGGCUGAAGAGAAGAA